AGAUUAUGAAUGGAGAGCUACAUCCCAUGGGGUGGCAGACGAAGAUGUGCAAGAAGAAGACACUAACAAUUGAAUUGCAGAUUGAGGAUGGUGACAGAAUCCAUCUUCGGUGUAUGUGCAUGAAGAAAUAAGCCAAAUCUACAACUAUAAAACCGCGGGAAGGAAUGAGAUAAUAAUCAGUUGCAGGUCUGCUUAGAUUUUAAUCGUUUAGUGUAGUUCGUGGCAGGAUCUGAUACCCUAUUUCAAUAGUGGAGAGAAUUAGAAAGCAUUUUCUUUUUUCAUAUCUACUAUUAUUGGUUAUAUAAAAGAAGUAUCAAAUGG
rnacentral:lncRNA from 1 species